rnacentral:rRNA from 1 species
UACGUAGGUGGCGAACGUUAUCCGGAAUUAUUGGGCGUAAAGGGUGCGUAGAUGGCCUGAUAAGUUAACAGUGGUAAAUCGAGGCUCAACCUCGUGGAAACUGAUAAUACUGUCUGGCUCGAGUACAGAAGAGGUUAACGGAAUUCCAUGUGGAGCGGUAAAAUGCAUAGAUAUAUGGAAGAACACCAAUAACGGCGAAGGCAGUUAACUAUUCUGUUACUGACAUUGAGGCACGAAAGCGUGGGGAGCAAAACGG